CCUACGGGAGGCAGCAGUGAGGAAUAUUGGUCAAUGGGCGCGAGCCUGAACCAGCCAAGUAGCGUGAAGGAUGACUGCCCUACGGGUUGUAAACUUCUUUUAUAAAGGAAUAAAGUGAGGCACGUGUGCCUUUUUGUAUGUACUUUAUGAAUAAGGAACGGCCAACACCUUGCCAGCAGCCGCGGUAAUACGGAGGAUUCGAGCGUUAACCGGGUUUUUUGGGGUUAAAGGGUGCGUGGGGGGCCAUUUAAGUUCGCGGUGAAAGUCUGUGGGUCAACCAUAGAAUUGCCGUUGAAACUGGCGGGCUUGAGUGUGUGUGAGGCAGGCGGAAUGCGUGGUGUAGCGGUGAAAUGCUUAGAUAUCACGCAGAACCCCGAUUGCGAAGGCAGCCUGCCAGGCCAUGACUGACGCUGAUGCACGAAAGCGUGGGGAUCGAACAGGAUUAGAUACCCUUGUAGUC
rnacentral:rRNA from 1 species